UACGUAGGGUGCAAGCGUUGUCCGGAAUUAUUGGGCGUAAAGAGCUCGUAGGUGGUUUGUCGCGUUGUUCGUGAAAACUCACAGCUCAACUGUGGGCGUGCGGGCGAUACGGGCAGACUUGAGUACUGCAGGGGAGACUGGAAUUCCUGGUGUAGCGGUGAAAUGCGCAGAUAUCAGGAGGAACACCGGUGGCGAAGGCGGUUCUCUGGGAAUAUCCUGACGCUGAGGAGCGAAAGUGUGGGGAGCGAACAGG
rnacentral:rRNA from 1 species